rnacentral:sRNA from 1 species
UUUUUCACCAUUGAUCACAAGGGGCAGUAAUCUGAUUCCAGGGAAUAGAAGAUGGAGGCUUGCUCUGGCGUGGUUCCGCUAUGGAAGUGAUAUAGUUCCUUUCUCUAAAGUGGAUGAGGAACAAAUGAAAUAUAAAUCGGAGGGGAAGUGCUUCUCUGUUUUGGGAUUUUGUAAAUCUUCUCAGGUUCAGAGAAGAUUCUUCAUGGGAAAUCAAGUUCUAAAGGUCUUCGCAGCAAGAGAUGAUGAGGCAGCAGCAGUUGCACUUUCCUCCCUGAUUCAUGCUUUGGAUGACUUAGACAUGGUGGCCAUAGUUCGAUAUGCUUAUGACAAAAGAGCUAAUCCUCAAGUCGGCGUGGCUUUUCCUCAUAUCAAGCAUAACUAUGAGUGUUUAGUGUAUGUGCAGCUGCCUUUCAUGGAAGACUUGCGGCAAUACAUGUUUUCAUCUUUGAAAAACAGUAAGAAAUAUGCUCCCACCGAGGCACAGUUGAAUGCUGUUGAUGCUUUGAUUGACUCCAUGAGCUUGGCAAAGAAAGAUGAGAAGACAGACACCCUUGAAGACUUGUUUCCAACCACUAAAAUCCCAAAUCCUCGAUUUCAGAGAUUAUUUCAG